UUACAGCCCUAAUAAACUUCCCGUACUCCAGUUCUGCUUCCCAGAGACCACAGGAAAUGAUAUUGCCAACUUAUCUCCUAACAUGACAGACGUGGUUUUGAAAUUCAUGCUAACAUGCGGUGUGGAAUAUUUAGGGGGUAGCUUCUUUGUUCGUCAUUCUGUGCGAGGUUUGUACUGUACACAACAGUCAUUGGUUCUUUAUUAUUGUAAGAUUUCCGUCAUUCUUUAGGGAAGUAGACUAUAGCGUACUUUAGUGCUCUUGACCUUUUAAAUCUUUUCCCACUUAAGGUUAUUACAGGCAAUGCCACAGUGACCUUUUCUGUAUGUGCCUUUGCUUGUGUGCCCAUGUAAGAAGUGCUGUUGGGAGUACCCCUGAGCUACAGCCUCUGCUGGGUAAGGCAAAUUCAUGUCUAGCCUAGUGGGCAUCAUAGAGAAAUGGCCAAAGGAUUGUGCCAAUUUAUACCCCAAUUAAUGGAGUAUGAGAGUUCUUUCUAGCCCUUGUCAGAAAAGAUUCGGAAUCUCUGAUGUAGGCAAAGAAGGAGAGGAACUGAGGUUCUAAGACAGAAAAGGCCUUGUUAUGUCAUCACGGAAGGAAGAGCAGCUUGUUUAGGAGGGAGAGACCCGGGGGAUGGGAUGCAGUUUGUAUCAGACAUCCGCAGACUUUUCUAAAACGGACAGAUAGUGAUGGGUUCUGCCAGCCACAUGUCUUUGUUGCCACUGGCCAGCUUGGCUAUCGUAAGUGAAAAGCAGUCACAAGACUGAGGAAACUCAAAGUGGGGUCGGAGUUGGGGGCUGCUCAUCGUGGGGAGAGAGGCCAACUCAGCCUUCCGCUCGCCCCGAGCUCUGCGGCAUUCAGUCCAGACCUGGUAUCACAAAGUCCCUCAUCUUCUAAUCCACAGUAGUGGGUGAUGUUCUGAGCAUCCCACUUAAAAGGGCGGCCCAGGCUGAGAUGUGGGAGGACGACACCCAGAUCCUGGACAGCUGUGCAGCGCUGACCUUGGUUGAAAGAUGUCUUCAGGGAAUACCUUUUCAUGAUGCAAAAAGGUUCCUGUCAGCUCCAGUAAUCUAUAACUCAUCAUCCAUUCAAUGAAUAAAUAUCAAGUCUUUUGCACAGAAUAAGAAACAAAAUUCUUGCUCUUGUGGAGUUUGAGGCUGAUAAGAAAUGAAUUACAAAACAGAAUAAUAAGCAAGUAUAAUAAAUGUUACAGAGAUAUUAAGUAGGCCAAUGGAAUGGAUUAAAACUACUUUAGACAGGGUCUCAACAAAGAAAGCCACUCCGAGGUAGGAUAAAGAAUAAAACCCAACUGUACUCAGAGCAGCAGGCGGCCCAUCUGAGGAGGGUGAUGCUCUAGGCAUGAAGUAACUUGGAUGAGGAAGGAACAAAACUUAGCAGUGUACCUACGACAUGGUGAAUUAUCAAAAGUGAGGUCAGAGAAAUAGCCAGAAGGUAGAUCAGACAUAUUUGAUUUCAAGAGCGAGAGGACCCAUGAAGCAUCCUAUGUAGGCAUGGGACAGAAUCCGAUGUGCUGUUAGAUGACUGCAUGGACUGCUGUAUGGAGAACGAGUUUUAAGGAAGAAGAUAGAAACAAGAAGAGGGUGAGAACUAAGUAACCACAUAGCAAUGAAGGUAAUACCGGAAAGGAAGGUAUCGAUGGAUCCAAACAGGAGCAAGAAAACUGAACGCCGGUUUGCGGGUGAAGCUGAAGGCCCUUGUAAAGGGUCCAGGUUUACAUCUUAAGCACAUUAGCAGGACGAGCCAUGGACUUGGAUCAAACCAGAAGGAAAAGAAGAAUUUCAAAGGAGAGGCAAUUUGGCGACUUGGUCCUAUGUAGGAAAGCUGUCUUUGUAGACCUCUUAAUCAGCCUUAUUGUCUUUUGAUGCAUAGAGAGAGGCAACACUUCUCCGUAGACCUUGUUCUGCCCUCAUAUGGCUAGGUAAGUGAAAAAUCAAUCUAUUGAUUCCCUUGAAAGGGCACAUGAAGGCAAGAUAUGUUCCAGACACAAGAUCAUCUUCUUUCUGGCUGAACCGCAGACGCCUCAAUUCAAUCAGUGUAGUUUCUACCUAGUCAGAACUUAACUCAGACAUCUUAAAAACCACUUGGGGUUUACCUACAUGCCCUAAAGCCAAUUGGCUACACAAGGAAAGAUAGAGGCAUAGUGUUUGUGCCUGUGUGCUUCCUCCCCCUUCCCCCCACCCCUCGAUCCAUCAAUCCCUUGAUCCCCCUCUCCCUCUCUCUAGUCUCCCCGUUCUUUUUUAAUUCUGAAAUGAUUUUAGAUUUACAGGAAGGCAUAGAGCGUUCUCAUGUAGCUCUCACCGUGUCUUCCCAAGUCACAUCCUGCAUAGCUAUGAGAUGGUAUUGAACCCAGGAAACCGACACCGGUGCGGUGUACGCGUUUAGCUCCGCUCCAUUUUAUUAUGUGUUCAGACUCCAGUAGCCAUCAAAAUCAAAUUAUGGCCCACACCGAGACCUAUUAGUGUCCACAUCCUACCACUUGGAGUGAAGUACAGGUACUUCUGUCCACUUGAGUCCCUUUGCUCGCCCAGACUCACCACUACUUUCUGUGAGCCGUCUCCCGGGCUCCCCUCCUCACAGCGAACUCAACUUUAGACAUGCCAUGCUUUUAGCGAUGACUGUCAAACAUAAUUUAGAAAGCCCGAGUAGAAGGAAAGUUGGCUGUGUGCUCUCCUAUUUUUACUCACUCCCUCAUCUUUUUUUCUUCCAUCCCAGACAUUCUAAGAUUCUUUCUUUGUCAUUUCCUUUCUGUUUCAAGAGCCCCCCUCCCCCAUUUGCCAUCCUUUUAGGGUGGGGGUGCUGCCAGCAACAAAGACUCUUGCUUUGCCUCCAUCUGAGAAGUCUGGACUGGCCCUCCCCAAGGAUAACUUCACAGGAUACAGACUUCCAAACUGGCGGUCAUUUUCUUCCGGCUUCGAAGACACACCGUGCCUUUUGGUUCUGGCCUUCCUGAUUUCUGAUGAAGAGGUCACUGUUGUUUGAGCACAUUUUACAUUGUGGGGGAAGCUACUUCUUUCCCUCUCUGCUUUCAAGAUGGUUUUUUUUGGGUUUUUCUUUAGUUUUCUGAAGCUCGUUGCCUUGUGUCUGAGUCUGGCUUCUUCGGGCUAGCCUCCCCACUUCUUGAGAAUGUAGGCGUCACGGUUUUCCCCCAGUUGGGAUCUUUUCAGUGCCAUUGUUCUCUCCAGAGGCAGGACUAGGUCUACUCUCAUUGUCCGCCCUGGUCAGAGUGAUUUUGUUCACUGGUUUUGAUUUUUUUGUUUUUGCUUUUUUAAAUCUCUGUUGCUCAGAUUAAAUGAAGUCUAUUUUUCUGUCUUGGAAUUUAGAGGUUCUUCCCUCUGACCACUCUGUUCUUCUGGUAACCUCAUCUACUGUUUCUUUAUUUGGUUGUUGUAUUUUUCAUAGAUUUUUACUUGGUCCUCCUCUUACAUUUCUAGUUUCUUUCUGGCACUUUUUUUUCCCUUUGAGCACAUUCACAGUCAAAUUCUGUUGAAGAAUUUUUAUGAUGGCUGCUUUAAACUACUUGUCAAAUAAUAUGGACUUGUGUGACACCAUAGGAUCCAAGUCUGUGAUUGGUUGGAAGAUGGGCAGGGUCUACCAAAGAUCUGUGGGUUGUUGUCUUACUCCUCAGGGUGGCACCACUGAGAAGUACUGUGGACCUUUUGGCCACUGACUGAUGGGCAUUUCUGAGGUCAUUUGGACGUGGCAUAAAGAGGGUCGUGGGGCCUUGACCUGUCCUCUUUCUCUUUUGCUUUCUGGCCAAAUGUAACCAGUUUGGUUUUGCACAUGCUCUGUCCUUAUGUCGCCUAAAUGCCUGCCAGAGGCUCAAAGCACUCAAAGCUGGAGCCUCCAAAACCAUGAGCCAACAUAACCUUUGCUCUUUAUCUGUUUCUUCCCUCAAGUGUUUCAUUAUUGUAAUGCAAAGCUGAUGACUCCCCCUCGAUUUUCUUUUAUAUGGCUCUUUAAUUUUCACACCAUCGUCAAAUAUAUUUGACUAUCCCUUCUAAGGACAAGCGUGUUUGAAAAUUGCCUCUGAAACCGAGUAGUGGGUGGCACACCCCUAUAAUCCCAUCACUCACACUCCGAAGGCAGAAGCAAGCCGAUCUCUGAGUUCAAGACCAGUCUGGUCUAUAGCACAAGUCUCAGGACAGCUCGGGCUACAGACCCAGACAGUCUUGAGAGGCAGGUGGCCCUGCUGGUGACUAAAAUGCCUCCAUGCCCCUCUAGUGUGGAGACACACAAUGUGUUACCACUCUUGGAAGCUAUCUGUCUUUCCUUGGCCUAACUUCUAGGCAGCUCUUUUCUCCUUCUGCCUCUUAGCCCUGAGGGAAAAAAGAGAUAUGCCUAUCUAUCCUUUGCUUGCAUGAAGGAGAGGGAGUGUUUUUUAAGGAGCGCUAGGUGAUUUUUGAAGCCACUGUGGAGGACUUGGCUUAUCUUUUCGAAGAGAAGGAAGACUCAGGCCCACAGCAAAGUAGCACUGGUUCCUAUUCCUCCCCUCCCUUCCCCCCCUCCCCUCCCCCCGGAACAAAGAGCUUGCUUUUUCUAAGCUGCACAAAUGAAUAAUGCAGUUAUAUUUGCAUAUUCUAUUACAUUAGAUUUCUCCAAAAAUUUACAUAUAAAGUACUUAUGUCAGUAUCUGGAAAGUAAUGAGAGUCAUUAAAAGUACUGCUAAUGCUCCGCUCCACGUGAUCUUUUCCUACAUGUCUGACUCUGAGCCCAGGUUACAAGAACUGACCUCUUUCUCUCAUCCAAUUGCAAACCGGUGAGAACUGACAUCACAGACGGCCUGGAAGGGGAAAGCAGGUGGUAACAGGGCAGCAUGGGGUGUGAAGGGCAAGGACAUGGGGGAGGCAGGACAGCCUUGUCUUCCUCGCCCUCUGCCAACAGGCUCUCCUUCUCAGCGCCUGGCAGGCUCCUCCUCCCCAGCUGUCUGUCUGAGUCAGUCAGUGCACAGCUGAUGUCCACAACACAAGUGACAGAGACACAGAAUGAGGAAAAACCUGCCUGGCAGACCCCCCGGGAGAGCUGGACACCAGGUUGACCACCAUCUGUCGAGGCUGAGGACCCAGACAAGGGUAAAGAAGUCAACAAAUGGCCUCGUUUGUGUUUAGCCAGGGUCAAGGCUGUUAAGAAGAAAGUCAGAGAGCUGAGCUGUAGGUCUGUCCGUCUCAACAAAAUGGUGACAUUCUGCAUCUGUAAAGUGGAAGGUCUGUCUAAAACUGGGAGAAAGAGAUGAGCCCUGCUUCUUCUUUUCUCAGCCAAGUGUAAACGCAGUCGGUCCCAGCACUCUGCAGGCUGAGGCAGGACCCAUGAGUUCAGCAGCAGGCUGGGUAACAUAGCAAGAA